rnacentral:rRNA from 1 species
UAAUAUGACCUCAAAUC